rnacentral:tRNA from 1 species
CCAUUUGAAUCAGUGGGCGGACUGUUAAUCCGUAUGUCACUGGUUCGAGUCCAGUCAGAGGAGCCA